GUCCGUGAUUAUACAGAUGUGGAAACGCCUUGCUCCAUCCCGAACCAAGAAGCUAAGCAUAUCGUGGGUGAUGAUACUACGCCUUACUGGCA
rnacentral:rRNA from 1 species